GAUGAACGCUGGCGGCGUGCCUAAUACAUGCAAGUCGAGCGAACAGACGAGGAGCUUGCUCCUCUGAUGUUAGCGGCGGACGGGUGAGUAACACGUGGAUAACCUACCUAUAAGACUGGGAUAACUUCGGGAAACCGGAGCUAAUACCGGAUAACAUGUUGAACCGCAUGGUUCAACAGUGAAAGACGGUCUUGCUGUCACUUAUAGAUGGAUCCGCGCCGCAUUAGCUAGUUGGUAAGGUAACGGCUUACCAAGGCAACGAUGCGUAGCCGACCUGAGAGGGUGAUCAGCCACACUGGAACUGAGACACGGUCCAGACUCCUACGGGAGGCAGCAGUAGGGAAUCUUCCGCAAUGGGCGAAAGCCUGACGGAGCAACGCCGCGUGAGUGAAGAAGGUCUUCGGAUCGUAAAACUCUGUUAUUAGGGAAGAACAAAUGUGUAAGUAGCUAUGCACGUCUUGACGGUACCUAAUCAGAAAGCCACGGCUAACUACGUG
rnacentral:rRNA from 1 species